GGAUCGGUAACUCAGGCGGUCAGAGUACCUGCCUUUUAAGCAGGGAGUCGUGGGUUCGAAUCCCACCCGAUCCA
rnacentral:tRNA from 1 species